rnacentral:rRNA from 1 species
CCCUUAGAUGUUCUGGGCCGCACGCGUGCUACACUGAGUGGAUCAGCGGGUCAGGUUGCGCGAAAGCGUUUCCUAAUCUUUAAAUCCGCUCGUGAUGGGGAUUGACGGUUGCAAUUUUCUGUCAUGAACGAGGAAUACCUUGUAAGCGCGGGUCAUCAUCCCGCGCUGAAUACGUCCCUGCCCUUUGUACACACCGCCCGUCGCUCCUACCGAUUGAAGUUUUCGGUGAGCUUGCAGGAGGAAUUUUUUGAAACUGGUUCGCUAGUGGAUUUUUAUUCCAAAUGCUAACGAAUCGAUGGCUUUAGAGGAAGGAGAAGUCGUAACA